rfam:Aedes aegypti strain Liverpool supercont1.936 genomic scaffold, whole genome shotgun sequence.
GGCUCGGUAGCUUAGUUGGUAAAGCGCUCGUCUAGCAUUUAAUAGUCCUGGGUUCGAAUCCCAGCCGAGCAC